rnacentral:rRNA from 1 species
AGAGACUGCAAGCGUUAUUCGGAUUCACUGGGCGUAAAGGGUGCGCAGGCGGCCGGGUGUGUGAGGCGUGAAAGCCCGAUGCUUAACAUCGGAAUUGCACCUCAAACUACACGGCUAGAGCAUUGGAGAGGGUAGCGGAAUUCACGGUGUAGCAGUGAAAUGCGUAGAUAUCGUGAGGAACACCAGAGGCGAAGGCGGCUACCUGGACAAUUGCUGACGCUCAGGCACGAAAGCGUGGGGAGCAAAAGGGAUUAGAUACCCCUGUAGUCCACGCCCUAAACGGUGCACACUAGGUCUUGGCGGAUUCGACCCCACCAGGGCCCAAGCUAACGCGUUAAGUGUGCCGCCUGAGGACUACGGUCGCAAGACUA